UACGUAGGGGGCUAGCGUUGUCCGGAAUCAUUGGGCGUAAAGCGCGUGUAGGCGGUCCGGUAAGUCCGCUGUGAAAGUCGGGGGCUCAACCCUCGAAUGCCGGUGGAUACUGUCGGGCUAGAGUACGGGAAGAGGCGAGUGGAAUUCCUGGUGUAGCGGUGAAAUGCGCAGAUAUCAGGAGGAACACCAAUUGCGAAGGCAGCUCGCUGGGACGUUACUGACGCUGAGACGCGAAAGCGUGGGGAGCAAACAGG
rnacentral:rRNA from 1 species